CCUACGGGAGGCAGCAGUGGGGAAUAUUGGACAAUGGGCGAAAGCCUGAUCCAGCAAUGCCGCGUGAGUGAUGAAGGCCUUAGGGUUGUAAAGCUCUUUUACCAGGGAUGAUAAUGACAGUACCUGGAGAAUAAGCUCCGGCUAACUCCGUGCCAGCAGCCGCGGUAAUACGGAGGGAGCUAGCGUUGUUCGGAAUUACUGGGCGUAAAGCGUACGUAGGCGGUUAUUCAAGUCAGAGGUGAAAGCCUGGAGCUCAACUCCAGAACUGCCUUUGAAACUAGAUAGCUAGAAUCUUGGAGAGGUGAGUGGAAUUCCGAGUGUAGAGGUGAAAUUCGUAGAUAUUCGGAAGAACACCAGUGGCGAAGGCGACUCACUGGACAAGUAUUGACGCUGAGGUACGAAAGCGUGGGGAGCAAACAGGAUUAGAUACCCUGGUAGUCCACGCCGUAAACGAUGAUAACUAGCUGUUCGGGCUCUACGAGCUUGAGUGGCGCAGCUAACGCAUUAAGUUAUCCGCCUGGGGAUACGGUCGCAAGNUUAAACCUUAAUGAAUUGACCGG
rnacentral:rRNA from 1 species